AUUUUAAGUGAGUUUUAAGUGUGCUGGCUGGAUAACAGACAAAGUGGUUGCUGGUCUGUUAUUUUCUGUUUGCUUAUUUCAGGUAAGGGAUGUAGCCACA